GAGGGUACAGCUCAGUGGUAGAGUACAUGCUUAGCAUGCAUGGGGUCCUGGGUUCAAUCCCCACUACCUCCA
rnacentral:tRNA from 1 species